rnacentral:lncRNA from 1 species
AGAUUUCAAGAUUUUAUUGUAAAGCAACGCUCAGACACAUAAAUGUGUAACAUGAGGUACAUAUAUACAAUGGUAAACAUGAUUUAUAAUACAAAGGUAACAUUAAAAAAAAAAAAUAAAAAACAAUAUAAUUUAAAAAAAAAAAAAAAAACAAACAAUAAAAAAAAUAAAAAAAAUAAGACAAAUUAAUAUACAUAUCACAAUAGGUUAUUCAGCUUUUUGAUAAAAGAUGCCACCUGUCUAUAUAAAUUGACAUUACAGUAAGAUAACAUUACAGAUAAUUUCUGUUUACUUGGAUGCUUCGUAUAAUAACUAGGGAUAUGUUGUUCUCUAAAAGUAACCAGUUGAGGAGAC